rnacentral:rRNA from 1 species
UCAAAUGAAUUGACGGGGGCCCGCACAAGCGGUGGAGCAUGUGGUUUAAUUCGAUGCAACGCGAAGAACCUUACCUGGUCUUGACAUCCACAGAACUUUCCAGAGAUGGACUGGUGCCUUCGGGAACUGUGAGACAGGUGCUGCAUGGCUGUCGUCAGCUCGUGUUGUGAAAUGUUGGGUUAAGUCCCGCAACGAGCGCAACCCUUAU